ensembl:snRNA U6 U6 spliceosomal RNA
GUGCUCGCUUUGGCAGCAUAUAUAAUAAUAUUGGAAUGAUACAGAGAAGAUUAGCGUGGCCCCAGCUCAAGGAUGACAUACAAAUUCGUGAAGUGUUCCAUUAAAAA